rnacentral:rRNA from 1 species
UCGGGAAUUUUGGGCAAUGGGCUAACGCCUGACGCAGCAACGCCGCGUGGAGGAUGAAGGUCUUUGGAUUGUAAACUCCUGUCAGCAGGGAAAAAGGGAUAGGCGCUAAUACCGCUUAAACUUGAUUGUACCUGCAGAGUAAGCCCCGGCUAACUCUGUGCCAGCAGCCGCGGUAAUACAGAGGGGGCAAGCGUUAUUCGGAAUUAUUGGGCGUAAAGGGCGCGUAGGCGGCUUUUCAAGUGACGGGUGAAAUCCCUCGGCUUAACCGAGGAACUGCCUGUCAGACUGGAAGGCUUGAGACCGGGAGAGGUGAGUGGAAUUCCCAGUGUAGCGGUGAAAUGCGUAGAUAUUGGGAGGAACACCAGUGGCGAAGGCGGCUCACUGGACCGGAACUGACGCUGAGGCGCGAAAGCGUGGGGAGCAAA